rnacentral:rRNA from 1 species
UCAGUGCAAGCCGUCCCGUACGGUGAAACCGCGAAAGGCUCAGUAAAUCAGUUAUGGUUCCUUAGAUUGUACCCACAUUUGUGUUACUUGGAUAACUGUGGUAAUUCUAGAGCUAAUACAUGCCGACAGAGUUCCGACCAGCGCCGGGUGUAUUAGGCUUCGCGCCGACGCCUGGUGUUCGGAAGGAACGCUCUUAUUAGAUCAAAACCGGCCAAACAGUGUAGCGAACGCGUUUUCGAACGCGUUCGCGCUGUAAGCGGCCCGCGCAAAGACUUGACGACUCUGAAUAAUUUCGAGCUGAUCGCACGGUCUUGGUACCGGCGACGUAUCUUUCAAAUGUCUGCCUUAUCAACUGUCGACGGUAGGUUCGAUGCCUACCGUGGUGGUAACGGGUAACGGGGAAUCAGGGUUCGAUUCCGGAGAGGGAGCCUGAGAAACGGCUACCACAUCCAAGGAAGGCAGCAGGCGCGCAAAUUACCCACUCCCAGC